rnacentral:rRNA from 1 species
CCACAGUAAUGGCGAAUGAACAGGGACAAGCUCAGCAUGGAAAUCGGGGCCUAUGGCCUUGAAUUGUAGUCUUGAGAUGUACUGCCAUCGGAGGCGCAGGUGUAAGCCUCUUGGAAAAGAGCAUCAAUGAGGGUGAGAGUCCUGCUUGCCAUCUGUAGUCCCCCGUGUACGNNNNNCUUUCCAAGAGUCACGUUCCUGGGGAUUGGAGCGCAAAGUGGGUGGUAAAUUUCUUCUGAAGCUGAAUAUAGGUUCGAGACCGAUAGCAAACAAGUACCAUGAGGGAAAGGUGAAAAGGACUUUGAAAAGAGAGUUAAAAGUGCCUGAAAUUGCUGAAAGGGAAGCGAAGGGAACCAGUGUGUCUUGGCGAGAUUGUUGCGUGCUAUUGCAAUUCCUUGCUGCUUCAGUGAAAGCGCAGCGCUAGGGGUUGAACAAUACGUGCGCAGUGCUUCUUGCCUUGCAUGUCAGCUCCAGUUCACUGUUGAGGAAAACCUCGGGGACAUGUUAGCUUGCCUUUGGGUGGGUGAAUGUGCCCAGGUGGACGCACGUGUGUACUGAUUGGUGACGAAAUGGUUCUCCCGGACCCGUCUUGAAACACGGACCAAGGAGUCUAACAUAUGUGCGAGCUCAUGGGUGGCAAACCUGCUUGCGCAAUGAAAGUGACUGCUGGGAUCUUUGCACCAGCAACUGACCAAUUUACCGAGAGAGGUUUGAGUAUGAGCACAUCUGUUAGGACCCGAAAGAUGGUGAACUAUGCCUGUGAAGGGCAAACUCAGGGGAAACUCUGAUGGAGGCUCGUAGCGAUACUGACGUGCAAAUCGUUCGUCAUACAUGGGUAUAGGGGCGAAAGACUAAUCGAACCAUCUAGUAGCUGGUUCCCUCCGAAGUUUCCCUCAGGAUAGCUGGAGUU